rnacentral:lncRNA from 1 species
AUGUUGUUUAACAGUUUAAGUGUUUUAGUAGCAGAAAGAUGCAGGGAACCCCAACUUCAGAGCUGCUUAACUUCUUCAUCGAUUGAGAUCCUGAAUCUGCUCAAGAUUGGAACAAUCUUCAGCAUCACCAUUGGCUUUCUGGCACCAGGUACAGAAAACAAAUCUCCUCCCACCCCACACUGGAUCUCUUUGGGGAUAUCAUUCAAAGACAUACACCAAUGCACAAAGGGAUCUUGUACCACUUGCAGAAGAUGUAGCGUAUAUUAUUCUUGCAAUGAGAGACUGGAUUCUCUUUGGGAUUCAGCUAUCAAGCAGUUCAAAUCCGGGGAGCAGGGUGAGCUCCCCCUGUCAGCCCCAGCUUCUACCAACCUAGCAGUUCAAAAACAUGAAUGUGAGUAGAUCAAUAGGUACUGCUCCGGCGGCAUGGUAACAGUGCUCCAUGCAGUCAUGCCAUCCACAUGACCUUGGGGGUGUCUAUGGAUAACGCCAGCUCUUUGGCUUAGAAAUGGAGAUGAGCACCACCCCCCAGAGUUGGACACGACUAGACUUAAUGUCAGGAGAAACUUUUACUUUUACUAUCAAGCAAAGAUUAGCAAUUUUGACAAGAUAGAUUUCAUUUAUUUCUUGGACUAUUUGAUUAACCUCUUCUCUCCAUCCAUAAUGUUUUCCCCUGAAAUCAUAGUUCCCAAGUGCUUUUAUUCCUUCUGUGUUUAGUGAUAUGGAUCAUAUCACUUAUCCAAGCAGGCGUUACACAUGAUAAAUGAGAUAUACAGUGUUCCCUCACUACUUCGCGGUUCACUUUUAGUGCAUUCGCUGUUUCGUGGUUUUUCAAGAACUCUAAGAGACUAUUAUAAAUCAUAAAAAAUUACAAUUUACAGCCUAAGAAAGGGAGGAAGGAGAAGCCAAAGGGAGAGAAAAGGAGCCCAAGAGGCGACGGGAGGAGAAGGAGGCGAUUUGUCAACACACAAUUGGUUGAUAAAGACUUAAAAUAGUGUAUAACUACUAAAAUAAUUAAUAAAGAUUAAAAUAAAUAUAGUGUCCCUACUUUGCGGAUUUUUAUUUAUUGCGGGUGGUCCUGGAACCUAAUCCCAGCAAUAAGUGAGAGAACACUGUAAUGAUGUUAUGAUGGCAUCACUAGGCCAAAUGGGGGGCAAUUGAGGGUGUCAGUAGCAUAGAAUCAUAGAAUACCCUGUUUCCCCUAAAAUAAUACAUCCCCAGAAAAUAAGGCCUAGUAGAGGUUUUGCUGCAUUGCUAAAUAUAAGGCCUCCCCCAAAAGUAAGACCUAGCACCAUUUGUGUUUGUAAGCAUGCCCAGCGCCUGACAAACAGAAUACCAGAGCAUGCAGGUUUGGUAAAUGUACAUACCAUCGAUUGUUGUACAUGGAAAUAAUGGUAGUAACAAGAAAUUCUUGAUAGGAUUCACAGUUUGUCUGGUUAUGCUGGUUUGUGAUGACAACGACUGUACAAGAUAUAAUAAAUGUUCAUUUUUUUGUUCAUCAAUAAAUGUUAGUUCUUCUUCAUGGAAAAGUAAGACAUCCCCUGAAAAUAAGACCUAGACCAUCUUUGGGAGCAAAAAUUAAUAUAAGACACUGUCUUAUUUCCGGGGAAACACGGUAGUAGAGUUGGAAGAGACCUCAUGGGCCAUCCAAUCCAACCCCCUGCCAAGAAGCAGGAAAUUACAUUCAAAGCACCCCCGACAGAUGGCCAUCUAGCCUCUGCUUAAAAGCCUCCAAAGAAGGAGCCUCCACCACACUCCGGGGCAGAGAGCUGGCAGCUUACAUGUAAGUGGAAUGUUGAAUCCACUCUGGGGUUUAGCUUAGACUAUAAAGAACCUAUUCACAGUGUUGGGUCCAUCUUGAAGAUAAGAGUCCAGUAAUUUGGAUAGGUCCUGUAAAAUUUGGCCUAAAACUCAGGAGAAAAAA